GCCAAAUUACACAGGUCUGUAAUAAGUCCUAGCCAAAUUACACAGGUCUGUAAUAAGUCCUAGCCAAAUUACAUAGGUCUGUAAUAAAUCCCAGCCAAAUUACACAGGUCUGUAAUAAAUCCAGCCAAAUUACACAGGUCUAUAAUAAAUCCCAGCCAAUUUACACAGGUCUGUAAUAAAUCCCAGCCAAAUUACAUAGGUCUGUAAUAAAUCCCAGCCAAAUUACACAGGUCUGUAAUAAAUCCAUCCAAAUUACACAGGUCUGUAAUAAAACCCAGCCAAAUUACACAGGUCUCUGUUAAAUCCCAGCCAAAUUACACAGGUCUCUCUUAAAUCCCAGCCAAAUUACACAGGUCUUUGAUAAAUCCCAGCCAAAUUACACAGGUCCCUGUUAAAUCCCAGCCAAAUUACACAGGUCUCUCUUAAAUCCCAGCCAAAUUACACAGGUCUCUCUUAAAUUCCAGCCAAAUUACACAGGUAUCUGUUAAAUCCCAGCCAAAUUACACAGGUCUCUGUUAAAUCCCAGCCACAUUACACAGGUCUCUGUUAAAUCCCAGCCACAUUACACAGGUCUCUGUUAAAUCCCAGCCACAUUACACAGGUCUCUGUUAAAUCCCAGCCAAAUUACACAGGUCUGUAAUAAAACCCAGCCAAAUUACACAGGUCUCUGUUAAAACCCAGCCAAAUUACACAGGUCUCUGUGAAAACCCAGCCAAAUUACACAGGUCUCUGUUAAAACCCAGCCAAAUUACACAGGUCUGUAAAAAAAAAAAACAGCCAAAUUACACAGGUCUCUGUUAAAACCCAGCCAAAUAACACAGGUCUCUGUUAAAACCCAGCCAAAUUACACAGGUCUCUGUUAAAACCCAGC